rnacentral:rRNA from 1 species
UACGGGGGGGGCAAGCGUUGUUCGGAAUUACUGGGCGUAAAGGGCGCGUAGGCGGUUUGCUAAGUUGGAUGUGAAAACUCUGGGCUUAACCCAGAGCCUGCAUUCAAAACUGACAGGCUAGAGUUCUGGAGGGGAUAGCGGAAUUCCUGGUGUAGCGGUGAAAUGCGUAGAUAUCGGGAGGAACACCAGUGGCGAAGGCGAUCAUCUGGGGUUGUUCUGACGCUGAGGAGCGAAAGCUAGGGGAGCAAACGGG